rnacentral:lncRNA from 1 species
CAUGGCUAUGACGUUGAGUAGAGAAAUUAUUGGAAACUUGCGGCAGAUUCAGCCCUGCCUUAUCAACCAUAAUCGGCAACUGUUGUUGGUUGAUUUGCAUCGUUGGCGUCGGAGGCUUGCUCGGCGACGGUGGCGGCAUCGGUUGGUUGACGUUCGACGGCGUGCCGGCGAUCUCAGCAAAGAACUGCAUUUUCCUGAAGCAUUGGGAGAUCCCUUAAAGAUGAAAGCAGAACCUGAAU